rnacentral:tRNA from 1 species
GCCUGGGUGGCUCAGUCAGUUGAGCAUCCGACUUCAGCUCAGGUCAUGGUCUUGCAGUCUGUGAGUUCAAGUCCCGCAUCGGGCU